rnacentral:rRNA from 1 species
CCUACGGGUGGCAGCAGUGGGGAAUAUUGCACAAUGGGCGCAAGCCUGACGCAGCCACGCCGCGUGUGUGAUGAAGGUCUUCGGGUUGUAAAGCACUUUCAGCGGGGAGGAAGGCGAUAAGGGCUAUAACCUAGGCGAUUGACGUUACCCGCAGAAGAAGCACCGGCUAACUCCGUGCCAGCAGCCGCGGUAAUACGGAGGGUGCAAGCGUUAAUCGGAAUUACUGGGCGUAAAGCGCACGUAGGCGGUCUGUCAAGUCGAAUGUGAAAUCCCCGGGCUCAACCUGGGAACUGCCUUCGAAACUGGCAAGCUGGAGUGUUGGAGAGGGGAGUAGAAUUCCAGGUGUAGGGGUGAAAUGCGUAGAGAUCUGGAGGAAUACUAGUGGCGAAGGCGGCCCCCUGGAAAAAGACUGACGCUCAGGUGCGAAAGCGUGGGGAGCAAACAGGAUUAGAUACCCCAGUAGUC